ACACCGCCCGUCGCUACUACCGAUUGAAUGAUUUAGUGAGGCCUUCGGACUGGUACGCGGCUCUCGCUGCAACUGUGGUGGUGCCGCCGAUUGCCGGAAAGAUGGCCAAACUUGAUCAUUUAGAGGAAGUAAAAGUCGUAACAAGGUUUCCGUAGGUGAACCUGCGGAAGGAUCAUU
rnacentral:rRNA from 1 species